rnacentral:rRNA from 1 species
UCCAGACUCCUACGGGAGGCAGCAGUAGGGAAUAUUGCUCAAUGGGGGAAACCCUGAAGCAGCAACGCCGCGUGGAGGAUGAAGGUUUUCGGAUUGUAAACUCCUUUUGUUAGAGAAGAUAAUGACGGUAUCUAACGAAUAAGCACCGGCUAACUCCGUGCCAGCAGCCGCGGUAAUACGGAGGGUGCAAGCGUUAUCCGGAUUUAUUGGGUUUAAAGGGUGCGUAGGCGGACAGUCAAGUCAGCGGUAAAAAUGCGGUGCUCAACGCCGUACAGCCGUUGAAACUGGCAGUCUUGAGUGGGCGAGAAGUAUGCGGAAUGCGUGGUGUAGCGGUGAAAUGCAUAGAUAUCACGCAGAACUCCGAUUGCGAAGGCAGCAUACCGGCGCCCUACUGACGCUGAGGCACGAAAGCGUGGGGAUCGAACAGGAUUAGAUACCCCAGUAAGA